GGAAAGACCCAGAACUUGUAGAUCCACCUACAAGGUAUAAUGUAGAUUACUGUUUCCGUGAGCAAUGGAACAAACUAUUAUAAUGAUGUGAAUCGUAUCAAGAAUCGAGAGAGGGUGGACAAACGAUUUCAGAUGAUUCUGUAGCCGUGCUGAUCACAUUGACGUUCUGAGUUGUGCCAACAUGGCAACGAACACCGAGGAUGUAGCCACAACGGGCUCACUGAUCACAGCAGCACAUAGCGGACAAGUACAAGUUGUGCAGCAGCUGCUGAAGGCUGGAGCAGAAGUAAAUAAUACCGAUCAGGAUGGCCGCACAGCGCUUUAUACAGCAGCGUGGAAGAACCAUGUGGAAGUUGUGCAGCAGCUGCUGAAGGCUGGAGC